AUUGAACGCUGGCGGCAGGCUUAACACAUGCAAGUCGAGCGAGCGGCGGACGGGUGAGUAAUGUCUGGGGAACUGCCUGAUGGCGGGGGAUAACUACUGGAAACGGUAGCUAAUACCGCAUACUAUCGGAUGUACCCAUAUGGGAUUAGCUAGUAGGUGGGGUAAUGGCUCACCUAGGCGACGAUCCCUAGCUGGUCUGAGAGGAUGACCAGCCACACUGGGACUGAGACACGGCCCAGACUCCUACGGGAGGCAGCAGUGGGGAAUAUUGCACAAUGGGCGCAAGCCUGAUGCAGCCAUGCCGCGUGUAUGAAGAAGGCCUUAGGGUUGUAAAGUACUUUCAGCGGGGAGGCGUUACUCGCAGAAGAAGCACCGGCUAACUCCGUGCCAGCAGCCGCGGUAAUAC
rnacentral:rRNA from 1 species